UCGACCUCAGAUCAGACGAGAU
rnacentral:rRNA from 2 species